rnacentral:rRNA from 1 species
GGCGAGUGAAGCGGCAAAAGCUCAAAUUUGAAAUCUAGCACCUUCGGUGUUCGAGUUGUAAUUUGAAGAUGGUAACCUUGGGUUUGGCUCUUGUCUAUGUUCCUUGGAACAGGACGUCAUAGAGGGUGAGAAUCCCGUCUGAUGAGAUGCCCAUUCCCAUGUAAGGUGCUAUCGAAGAGUCGAGUUGUUUGGGAAUGCAGCUCUAAGUGGGUGGUAAAUUCCAUCUAAAGCUAAAUAUUGGCGAGAGACCGAUAGCGAACAAGUACAGUGAUGGAAAGAUGAAAAGAACUUUGAAAAGAGAGUGAAAAAGUACGUGAAAUUGUUGAAAGGGAAGGGCAUGAGAUCAGACUUGGUGUUUUACGAUUAUCUUCUCUUCUUGAGUUGUGCACUCGUAUUUCAGUGGGCCAGCAUCGAUUCGGAUGGCAAGAUAAUGGCAGUUGAAUGUGGCUUCACUUCGGUGGAGUGUUAUAGCUUCUGCUGAUAUUGCCUGUCUGGAUCGAGGGCUGCCUCUUUUGACUAGGAUGCUGGCGUAAUGAUCUAAUGC